ensembl:lncRNA
GGUCCUUGGGGGCGUCUGGGGGACCACCGGGGGUCACCGGGCUGGGUCCUCGGGGGCACCUGGAGGCCCACCGGGGGUCACCAGGGUGGGUCCUCGGAGGCACCAGGGGGCCCGCCAGGGGUGUCCGGGUUGGGUCCUCGGGGGCACCCGGGACCACGCCGGAGGUCACCAGGGUGGGUCCUCAGGGGCGACCUGUGGCCCGCCGGAGGUUACCGGGUGGCUCCUCGUGGGUGCCCGGGAGCCCGCCAUGGGUAACCGGCGUGGGUCCUCCGGGGUGCCAGGGGGACCCGCCAGGGGUCACCGGGGUGGUUCCUCGGGGGCACCCUGGGGCCCACCAGGAGUCACCAGGUGGGUCCUCCGGGGUGGCUGGGAGCCCGCAGCGGGACACUGGGGUGGGUCCUCGGGCAUGCACGGUAGCCUGCUGCAGGUUAACCGGGGUGGGUCCUCUGGGGCGCCCUGGGGCCUGCCAGGGGUCACUGGGCUGGGUCCUUGGGGGUGCACGGGGGCCCACCAGGGGUCACUGAGGGGGGUCCUCAGAGGCACCCGGGGUCCCACUGGGUGUCACCGGGGCGUGUUCUCGGGGCGCCCGGGGGCCCGCCGGGGGUCACUGGGUUGGGUCCUCGGGGUCGCCCGGGGUCUCCCCGGGGGUCACCGGGGUGGAACCUCCUGGGUGCCUGGGAGCCCGCCGGGGGUCACCGGGGUGGGUCCUCCGGGGCACCCUGGGGCCCGCCGGGGUCACCAGGCUGGGUCCUCCAGGGCGCCAGGGGACCCGCAGUCAGUCACCUGGGUGGGUCCUCUGGGGCGCCCUGGGGCCCGCCGGGGGUCACUGGGGUGGGUCUUCCUGGGCACUCUGGGGCCUUCUGGGGGUCACCGGUUUGGGUCCUCGGGGGCACCCUGGGGCCUGCCAGGGUCACCAGGGUGGGUCCUCUGGGGCGCCAGGGAGCACGCAAUCGGUCACCUGGGUGGGUUCUCCAGGUCACCCUGGGGCCCGCCGGGGGUCACCGGGGUGGGUCCUCAGGGGCGCCCGGGGGCCCGCCAGAGGUUACCGGGUGGCUCCUCGUGGGUGCCCGGGAGCCCGCCGCGGGUAACCGGCGUGGGUCCUCCGGGGUGCCAGGGGGAACGCCAGGGGUCACCGGGGUGGUUCCUCAGGGGCACCCGGAGGCCCGCCGGGGUCACCGGGAUGUGUCCUCCGGGGCGCCCUAGAGCCUGCCAGGGUUCACCAAGGUGGGUCCUUGGGGGCACCCAGGGGCCUGCCAGGGGUCACGGGGGUGGGUCCUCAAAGGCGCCCGGGGGCCCGCCGGUGGACACCAGGUUGGGUCCUCCAGGGCGCCCAGGGGCCCACCGGGGGUCACCGGGGUGGGUCCUAUGGGGCCCUCCGAGGGGUCACCGGAGCUGGUCCUCCGGGGACCUAGGUCCUCCAGUUGGUAGUUGGUCCUCCGGUUACUGGGGGUAACCAGGGUGGGUGCUCCGGGGUGCCAGGGGGCCUGGCGAGGCUCACCGGGGUGGGUCCUCCUGCGCCCCUGGGGGGCCCAGGCGUGUCACCGCAGUGGGUCCUCCAGGAACCUGGUGGGCCUUGUGGUGUAAUCGGGGUGGGUCCUCUGGGGCCCUCGGAGUGUCAGCGGAGUGGGUCCUCCGGGGACCUGGGGGACCUGGGGAGAUCACCGGGGGGGGUCCUCCGGGGCCCCUGGGGUGUCAGUGGACUGGGUCCUCUGGGGACCUGGUUGGCCCGGGGGAGUCAACGGAGUGGGAGCUCCGGGGAACUGUGGGACCUUUGGGUGUCACCAGGGUUGGUGCUCCGGAGACCUCAAUGGUUUCACUGGGAUGGGUCCUAUGGACCGCCCAGGGUCCCACCAGGGGUCACCGGGUGGGUCCUCGGGGGCGCCCGGGCGCCCGCCGGGAUUCACCGGGGUGGGUCCUAUGGGCCACACAGGGGCCCUCCGGGGGUCACCGGGGUGUGUGCUCCUGGGUGCCCAGGGACACUUCGGGGGUAACCAUGGUGGGUUCUUAGGAGCGCCCAGGGUCCUGCCAGGGGUAACGGGGGGGGUGCUCCGGGGAGCCCGGGGGCCCGUCGGGGUUCAACAGGGUGGGUGCGCCGGGGCGACCGGUGUCCUGCCGGGGGUCACCGGGGUGGGUCCUAUGGGGAGCCCGGGGGCCCGCCAGGGGUCACUGGGGUGGGUGCUCUGGGGUGCCAGGGGGCCCAGCGGGGCUCACCGGGGUGGGUCUUAUGGUGCGGCCGGGGGCCUGCCAGGGGUCACCGGGGUGGGUCCUAUGGGGCGCCUGGUGGCCCUUCGGGGCUCACCGGGGUGGGUGCUUAGGAGAGCCCAGGGUCCUGCCAGGGGUAACGGGGGGGGUGCUCCGGGGAGCACCGAGCAGUUCGCGCUUCUGCAAAUUCGAUUAAGCCUUUGAGCCUGGGCUGCAGGAAGUUUACGAGCACGCCUCAGUUUCACCCAAAG